AACAACCUGAGGGGUGCGUCAUCUUCGCAAUGUUCAACCUACGCAUGAACACAGGGAAUUCAAUGUUUUUGUAGCUGUCAAGCCUCCUUCGAGAGGACGACAAAAGCAUAACUAGAAUACCCACCUGCUUAGAGAAGCGGGUCUUGAACAUUAGAAGAAACGGCACCUCGGGUUUCUA
rnacentral:other from 2 species